UUCUAUUCAAAGUCAUCCCUCUGCUCACUAAGAUAGAUGCAUAUCUGAUUGCUUCCUUUGGAAAGCCUAAUCAGAUACUUAAAAGAAUGAAGCUAUUUUUCUCUCACCUACCUGUGACCUGGAAGCUGCCUCCCUGCUUUGAGUUGUCCCACCUUUCUGGACAGAACCAAUGUACAUCUUACAUAUAUUGAUUGAUGUCUCAUGUCUCCUUAAAGUGUAUAAAACCAAGCUGUGCCCCAACCACCUUGGACACAUGUCAUUAGGACCUCCUGAGGCUGUGUCAUGGGUGCACAUCCUCAACGUUGGCAAAAUAAACUUUCUAAAUUAACUGAGACCUGUCUCAGAUAUUCAGGGUUCACAAAGGAAAGCCAUUUUUGGGGUGAGUUCUGGCAAAACAGCCAAGAGAUAUUACACACUACUUCUGUCCAUGAGUUAGCCUGUGUCUCAAUUGCAUGUUUUGCAUGAUCUUUUUAAGUAAGGAGUCAAAUAAUUUUCUAAGUUUAUUUUCUUCAUGUCAAUAUUAUAUAAAAAAGAAGGUACACAUAUAUUUAAGAUAAGAUGGAGGGGUUUUCUUUUUCUUAAAUAUUUAUUCAGCAUUGGAAAAGAUACAUCUCAUUUAUUGUUGCUAAAAGAUGAUUGGAUACUAUAAAAUCAUACUUGUUUAUUUUACUAGGUGAAAUUUUCCUGUUUGUCAUUCAGUCACUUACCUACUCUUUUAUUUAUUCCCAUGAUUCAUUUAUUAGAUUUCAAUUAACAGAUUUAAAUGUAAUAAUCUAUAGAUGAAAAGAGUCAAGCUCUGUGAUAUGGUUUGGCUGUGUCCCCACCCAAAUCUCAUCUUCAGUUGUAGUUCCCAUAAUCCCUACAUGUGGUGAAAGGAACCCAGUGGGAGAUCAUUGUAUCAUGGGGGCAGUUCCCCCAUGCUAUUCUCAUGAUAGUAAGUUCUCACGAGAUCUGAUGGUUUUAUAAGGGCCUUCCUCCUUCAGUUGGGACUCAUUCUCUUCCCUGCUGUCCUGUGAAGAGAUGCUUUCCACCAAGAUUGUAAGUUUGCUGAGGCUAACCAAGACAUGUGGAAUGGACUAAGAGAAACCACCUAUGGAAUGACAAUAAAUAAACAGACAACUCUUGACUCCGCCCAGAAGCAAUCCAUCAUUUUGAGGUCAAGUAGAAAAGGUGGAACCUGAAAGGAAACGGAGAAGUGGUGGUGAGGGAAGUAGGAGAAAAACCAGGAGAGUAUAGCGUCACAAGAAGCAAGAGAUGAAAGCUUUUCCAGACACAUUCAUUAAAGAAAAAGAAAGAAAGACAGGAAGAAAGACAAGCAAGCAAGCAAGCAAGCAAGCAAGAAAACUGAGCCAUCCACCACUCUCUCUGCCAACAAGAAUUCUCAGAUGGGCCAGGCACAGUGGCUCAUGCCUGUAAUUCCAGCACUUUGGGAGGCUGAGGCAGGACGAUCACUCAAGACCAGGAGCUCAAGACCAGCCUGGGCAACAUAGUGAAACCCUAUCUCCACCAAAAAUAAAAUUAGCCCAGGAAUGAUGUCACUUUACUGUAGUCCCAUCUAUUUGGGAGGCUGAGGGAAGAGGAUACUUGAGCCCAGGAGUUCAAGACUGCAGGGAGCUAUGAUUGCACCACUGCACUCCAGCCUGGGUGACAGAGCAAGACCCCGUCUCAAAGAAAACAAAAAAGAAUUCUCAGACAGGCUGGGUACAGUGGCUCACGCCUGUAAUCCUAGCACUCUGGGAUGCCGAGGAGGGUGGAUCACUUGAUCCCAGGAAUUCGAGACCAGCCUGGCCAUCGUAGUGAAACCCUAUCUCUAUUAAAAUACAAAAAUUAGCCAGGGCAUGGUGGCACACACCUGUACUCCCAGCUACUUCCAAGGCUGAGGCGGGAGAAUCACUUGAACCUGGGAGGUGGAGGUUGGAAUGAGCUGAGAUUGUGCCACUGCACUCCAGCCUGGGCGAAAGAUCAAAGCUCUGUCUUAAAAAAAAAGAAAGAAAAAAAGAAAAAGAAUUCUCAGGCAGAUGUUUUCUCACUCUGCAUGGGAUGGGAUUUUCUUUUUUUCUUUUUUCUUUUAUAGAGACAAAGUCUCACUAUGUUGUCCAGGCUGGUCUUGAACCCCUGAGUUCAAGCAAUCCUCCUGCCUUGACCUCCCAAAGUGUUGGGAUUACAAGGCGUGAGCCAUGGCACCCAACCAGGUUGGGAUUUUCUAUCAAUCAGGGGCAAAUCUCUCAGAAAACAAAGAAGACUUUAACUCAUAUUUGGAUCAUAUAUAUAAAGUGCCUGACAUACGGUAGAUGCUACAUAAGUUUUGGUUCUUUAUCCACACUUAAUUAUUUUGAAACAGGGUCUCUGUUUUACAGGCUGGAGUGCAGUGGUACUCUGUUGCCCAGGCUGGAGUGCCAGUGGUACAAUCUCUGCUCACUGUAGUCUCCACCUCCUGGGCUCAGGUAAUUCUUCCACCUCAGCCUUCCGAGUAGCUGGGAUUACAGGCGCGCGCCACUGUGCCCGGCUGUAAACAAUUAAAAUAUCAAAGUACACGGUUUGGAAGAUAGUAGAAAAUCUCUGAUGAGAAAGGGCAGUUCUGGUUUGUUAUUAUAGAGUGUAUGAGCACUCACACACGCCCAUACACCAAUUAAAGCUCACAAUAGAUGAAUCCUUAAAAGAAGGGGAAAUUAGAGCAGAAUAAAAGGAUGCUAAUUGUUGACAGUGAAAAAUGUUAUUUGUAAUAAUAGAGACUAGUAAAAGCAAAACACAUGUUGCUUGUUUGUGAGACCACCCAGCAGUCUGACUUGAUUGGAAGUUGUGUCAAUGGUCCUCCAUCAAAGACUAUCACCGUGAAUGAUGUCUAAAUAGAUGUUUCACUGAAAUUAAGAGAAGCCUUAUGUGAUCUGCAGAAUGGCCAUGUACUUUAGGUUAUUUGCAAAAGUUUUGUAAAUUGAAUUGUGAAUUUAACUGAGAGUACUUUUAAAACUAUAACUAAGCAGUGAAAGGAAAGUUGAAUUGACAGUGUUAUCUAGAAAGGUGCUGCCUCUCUCAGGUAAGCAGGGAUUUGGAGAAACAUAAAGACUUGGGUUUUAUUGAGGACACAUGGACAUAAACAUGGGAACAAUAGACACCAUGGAAUACUACAGGGUGGAGGGGUGGGUUAGAAAUCUACCUGUCAGGUACUAUGCUCACUAUCUCGGUAAUUUUUGAGAUUCCUACUCCAUACCUCAGCACCAAGCAAUAUUCCCAUGCAACAAAUCUGCACAUGCACCCACUGCAUCUAAAAUAAAAGUUGAAUUAAUAAAAUCAAAAAAAUAAAGGCCGGGUGUGGUAGCUCACGCCUGUAAUCCCAGCACUUUAGGAGGCCGAGGUGGCUGUAUCACCUGAGGGCAGGACUUCGAGACCAGCCUGGCCAACAUGGUGAAACUGUGUCUCUACUAAAAACACAAAAAAUCAGCCGGGCAUGGUGGCACUCACCUGUAAUCCCAGCUACUCCAGAGGCUGAGGCAGAAGAAUCGCUUGAACCCAGGAGGCAGAGGUUGCAGUGAGCCGAGAUCAUUGCACUCCAGCCUGGGCAACAAAAGAGAAACUCCGUCUCACAUAUAUAAGGAAAUAAACCUUGGUUUUUUUUUUUCCAAUCCCACCUGUCCCGGCCCCUAUUUAAGACUUAAUCUAUCAUCAGUUUAUAUAUGCACUGUCAAAAAUAACAAACAAGGAAGUCUAGCUCUUUUGUUUUCUAUGGCUCUUAAGAAGUCAGGGUGACAUCUGGUGGACAGACAGUCUUAAGGUAUCUAUCAAGACAGUAUAAAUUUCUUUCUGAUUCCCACUUUAAAAGUUCUCAAAGAGUCAAAAAUUUAAAAAGGAAGUUGUGCCUCAAGUGGACAGAAAACAUGACUCUUAACCCCAAACA
rnacentral:lncRNA from 1 species